rnacentral:rRNA from 1 species
AUUGAACGCUGGCGGCAGGCCUAACACAUGCAAGUCGAACGGUAACAGGAAGAAGCUUGCUUCUUUGCUGACGAGUGGCGGACGGGUGAGUAAUGUCUGGGAAACUGCCUGAUGGAGGGGGAUAACUACUGGAAACGGUAGCUAAUACCGCAUAACGUCGCAAGACCAAAGAGGGGUACCUUCGGGCCUCUUGCCAUCGGAUGUGCCCAGAUGGGAUUAGCUAGUAGGUGGGGUAACGGCUCACCUAGGCGACGAUCCCUAGCUGGUCUGAGAGGAUGACCAGCCACACUGGAACUGAGACACGGUCCAGACUCCUACGGGAGGCAGCAGUGGGGAAUAUUGCACAAUGGGCGCAAGCCUGAUGCAGCCAUGCCGCGUGUAUGAAGAAGGCCUUCGGGUUGUAAAGUACUUUCAGCGGGGAGGAAGGGAGUAAAGUUAAUACCUUUGCUAAUUGACGUUACCCGCAGAAGAAGCACCGGCUAACUCCGUG